rnacentral:rRNA from 1 species
UGCAGUCGAGGGGUAUAGUUCUUCGGAACUAGAGACCGGCGCACGGGUGCGUAACGCGUAUGCAAUCUACCUUUUACAGGGGGAUAGCCCAGAGAAAUUUGGAUUAAUACCCCAUGGUAUAAUUGAAUGGCAUCAUUUAAUUAUUAAAGUCACAACGGUAAAAGAUGAGCAUGCGUCCCAUUAGCUAGUUGGUAAGGUAACGGCUUACCAAGGCAACGAUGGGUAGGGGUCCUGAGAGGGAGAUCCCCCACACUGGUACUGAGACACGGACCAGACUCCUACGGGAGGCAGCAGUGAGGAAUAUUGGUCAAUGGGCGCAAGCCUGAACCAGCCAUGCCGCGUGCAGGAUGACGGUCCUAUGGAUUGUAAACUGCUUUUGCACAGGAAGAAACACUGAUUCGUGAAUCAGCUUGACGGUACUGUGAGAAUAAGGAUCGGCUAACUCCGUGCCAGCAGCCGCGGUAAUACGGAGGAUCCAAGCGUUAUCCGGAAUCAUUGGGUUUAAAGGGUCCGUAGGCGGUUUGGUAAGUCAGUGGUGAAAGCCCAUCGCUCAACGGUGGAACGGCCAUUGAUACUGCUAAACUUGAAUUAUUAGGAAGUAACUAGAAUAUGUAGUGUAGCGGUGAAAUGCUUAGAGAUUACAUGGAAUACCAAUUGCGAAGGCAGGUUACUACUAAUGGAUUGACGCUGAUGGACGAAAGCGUGGGUAGCGAACAGGAUUAGAUACCCUGGUAGUCCACGCCGUAAACGAUGGAUACUAGCUGUUGGGAGCAAUCUCAGUGGCUAAGCGAAAGUGAUAAGUAUCCCACCUGGGGAGUACGUUCGCAAGAAUGAAACUCAAAGGAAUUGACGGGGGCCCGCACAAGCGGUGGAGCAUGUGGUUUAAUUCGAUGAUACGCGAGGAACCUUACCAAGG